rnacentral:rRNA from 1 species
ACUCCUACGGGAGGCAGCAGUGGGGAAUUUUGGACAAUGGGCGAAAGCCUGAUCCAGCAAUGCCGCGUGUGUGAAGAAGGCCUUCGGGUUGUAAAGCACUUUUGUCCGGAAAGAAAUCCUUGGCUCUAAUACAGUCGGGGGAUGACGGUACCGGAAGAAUAAGCACCGGCUAACUACGUGCCAGCAGCCGCGGUAAUACGUAGGGUGCGAGCGUUAAUCGGAAUUACUGGGCGUAAAGCGUGCGCAGGCGGUUUGCUAAGACCGAUGUGAAAUCCCCGGGCUCAACCUGGGAACUGCAUUGGUGACUGGCAGGCUAGAGUAUGGCAGAGGGGGGUAGAAUUCCACGUGUAGCAGUGAAAUGCGUAGAGAUGUGGAGGAAUACCGAUGGCGAAGGCAGCCCCCUGGGCCAAUACUGACGCUCAUGCACGAAAGCGUGGGGAGCAAACAGGAUUAGAAACCCCAGUAGUCCCA